AACUUUCAACAACGGAUCUCUUGGUUCUGGCAUCGAUGAAGAACGCAGCGAAAUGCGAUAAGUAAUGUGAAUUGCAGAAUUCAGUGAAUCAUCGAAUCUUUGAACGCACAUUGCGCCCGCUGGUAUUCCAGCGGGCAUGCCUGUUCGAGCGUCAUUUC
rnacentral:rRNA from 4 species